rnacentral:snoRNA from 1 species
CUAGAAUGAUGAGAUUCCACUUCAUCGGUCCGUGUUUCUGAAACACAUGAUUUUGUGGAAGUUCUGACUUG